GAUGAACGCUGGCGGCGUGCUUAACACAUGCAAGUCGAACGAUGAAGCCCAGCCUGCUGGGCGGAUUAGUGGCGAACGGGUGAGUAACACGUGAGUAACCUGCCCUUGACUCUGGGAUAAGCCCGGGAAACUGGGUCUAAUACCGGAUAGGAGCGCCUGUCGCAUGACGGGUGCUGGAAAGAUUUUUCGGUCAUGGAUGGACUCGCGGCCUAUCAGCUUGUUGGUGAGGUAACGGCUCACCAAGGCGACGACGGGUAGCCGGCCUGAGAGGGUGACCGGCCACACUGGGACUGAGACACGGCCCAGACUCCUACGGGAGGCAGCAGUGGGGAAUAUUGCACAAUGGGCGGAAGCCUGAUGCAGCGACGCCGCGUGAGGGAUGACGGCCUUCGGGUUGUAAACCUCUUUCAGUAGGGAAGAAGCGA
rnacentral:rRNA from 1 species